rnacentral:tRNA from 1 species
GGCAGGAUGGCCGAGUGGUUCUAAGGCGCUGCGUUCAGGUCGCAGUCUCCUCUGGAGGCGCGGGUUCGAAUCCCGCUCCUGUCA